rnacentral:lncRNA from 1 species
ACCCUUCCACUCAUUUUUUACAAACUACCAAACAAAUAAAUAAGACAACAAACAUAGGAAGAAAUAAAGGAAGGAAACCUGCCAUCUUCACACCACCAUCAUACAAAAGCAUUAAAAAUCAAUUUGAUCCCAUUCUAUAGAAAAAGAAAAAGAAAAAUCAACUUACUCCAAUCACAGGCCAACAACAAAAAAUCAUAAAGGAUGUAUGUACCCACCUCAGUUAGAUAGAUGAGAAAUACAUAUUAUAUAAUAUUAGUUUGUUUAGAUCUUUGAAUUUGCUGGGUGAGCACCAAGUAGACAG